UAUAAACAUAAAUCCCAACACUAUGCCUACACUCAUCCCUUGCUAAGCAUGGUUUUCCCAAUCACAGUUUUGAGUAUCCGGGACUUGGAAAUUGCGACCUAUCUCACCAACCAUGACCCAAAUAUCCAUGGUUUGAAAAUAAGGACCAGCAGCCCUGAUAUCACAACACAGCAUCCUUGAGAAGCUUCAGGCUGAAGAAGUCCAGCCGGAUCCAUUGUUCUUGCCAGGCCUUGCCACUCUGCAACCAACUGAGAAGAGCCGAAGCUUCUGAGACACGCCAAGCGGAUUAGAAAAUAGAAAAUGUAGAAGUCAAGCUGGAGACGGUUUUGAGCUCAAUCGCCUGCCAAGUUAAGUCUGACAAAUGGUGAGCGUGUAUAAUUAAUGCUGUCAUCUUUCCCUAGACCAAAGGGCGACCACAGUAACUAUAGAUUGUAAUUGUCAUCGUUGUCACAUAA